GCUGCCAAACAAUGGGGUUAGGCUGGAUUUCUCCUCCUCAAAUCAAGGGUUGGUGUCGAUGAUAGAAAGAUUGAGAGGGAUGGGAGAGACCCAUUUGGCCUUCAUUUUCCCCUUUCUCUCUCUCGGUCUCUCCUCCACCAUACUCAAUCCUUUGCUUCUCAUCCGUGUGCCUCUAGAUUCGAUCUUCUUUUUCUGUUCCUCUCUUGGCACGCGUCCAUCAUUGUUGCCGUUUCUAUUUCAGUUCUCUGCUUUCCAUUUCUUCUCUCUCUCCCUCUUCUCAGUGUUUUGCAAGCUUUUCUCCCUGUCUCUUUGUCGCCAUGGUCUCCAUUGCUCUCAAACUUUCGUUUCUAUCCUGUCAAAUCUUGGCUCACUGGAAAAAUCCGAAGCAGUUUAAGCUUCUUUAGCUUUUUGAUUUGGAUUGAAGAUGAUUUUAAGCCAAAAAGGUUAAUGUUUUCUGGAGACGUUACUCUUCAUUGUUUGGGGCUUUUGUGUGAAGCUUUUGAAGCCCUUUGUGCUCAAGGCUAUGAUGAGACUAGCAACAAUUGGGAUGACUACUUGAGAUAUGUAAAUCCUGAGGGAGUAUAAAUGAUUUCUAAAGGAGGAACGCCCGAACUGGAGAAAUGUGCAGUUAAGGCUGUUUAAGAUCGUUAUGACGUUGUGCACCGUGACAUCCUUUCUAUGGACCUGAGGAUGCUCAAAGGAUGAUAAACAAGAAAAGAAAAUCACAGAUUGCAAAUUAGAUGGACAAAAAAGGCAAUAGAAAUUCAUAGGUCCCACAUCCGUGACAUAAAAGGUAUGAAAUUGUUAAUUGAUAAUUGAACAUAAAUGUAGAACUGAUUGCUACAAAUAAGUAUGGUUACUUUUGUAUCACAUUCUUAAUUAAGAUGGUUAUGCAGUCAUUUUUGUAAUUGUGUAUCUAUCAGCUCUGUACUGACUUACAAGUUACACACACCUCAAAAUUUUCAUUUUCUUUCAAACAAUCUUGAUCCGCAAUAUCUGCAGGAUUGCAAUGAAAUAAUUGUGAGCAGCAUGUAUAAUGGGAAGGAUUUACAAAGGUUUCAACUAUUGAACUUGCUUAUGCUCUUAUUUGAGUAAAAAAAGAUUUAGUAGGACAAACUCGAAUUGGCUUAAUUCCAUUUAUCAUUGAUAAUUUGAUUCUGUUAUUCAUAGACCAUUCUUCCGAAUCUCUGAGUUCGAAUGUGACCAAUUUUUGCAUUUUUAUGUUUAAUUUUAGGAAGAAAUGAAAAUGAGUUUUGCCUUUUUUUUAGUGUUUCGUUAGUACUAGCUUGCUGCAUAUGCUAUUCUCUGGGUGUAAAUAUAAUUAUCUAAGCAAGCUCAUUUAUUUUUGAACUCUUUAACUGAUUUGUGGCUGCAACAAGAUUUUUUUUUCGGAUUUUUCCCAGUCUUUUUAACAGUAUUAGGUUUCUGUCCUGCAUGUCACCAGGCUUAUUCUUUUUCAAUUCACAUUAAUCACGAAUUUAUAGUUGAUUGGAUUUCAUUUUGACUGC